GUGCGGAUGGGGCGGCCCCUGGGCACUGUCUGGGACAGGGCGUUGGCACUCUGGGCAAACAGGUUGCCUCGCAGUUACCUGCCACUCCAGGAGCUUCUUUCCUGCCCAUGCUAGGACCUGCUUGUCGGGUGCUUACUGCGGUCCACCCUUGUUGUAGUCCCCAGUGGCUCAGAGCCCCAUGGUGGCUCCCAGGCUGCUCCAGCGAACCCACCCUCUGCCCGCUGCACCAGUUAUAAGGAAGGACUCUCCCAAUAUCCAUACUGUUUUCUCUGACGCCCAGGAGAUCGCCUCAGCGCACUUGUGUAAAUGUUUCUCUGGGAAGAAUCGAAGAAGUGGAAUUGGAUCAUAGAGGAGAGAUAUAUUUCAAUUCAUACUUUCAAAUUGCUUGCCAAAAACCACAUCUACCAGAAAUCAGUGGAUGUAUGAGUGUGUAUGCUUGUGUGAAUGAGUGUGUGUGUGUGUGUGUGUGUGUAUUUUGUAACCUCACUCACAGUUUGUAUG